UCUGCUAAGGGAUGGCCAAGGAGGG
rnacentral:piRNA from 1 species